rnacentral:rRNA from 1 species
UGCCAGCCGCCGCGGUAAUACGGAGGGUGCGAGCGUUAAUCGGAAUCACUGGGCGUAAAGCGUGCGUAGGUGGUUGUUCAAGUCGGAUGUGAAAGCCCUGGGCUUAACCUGGGAACUGCAUUCGAAACUGGAUAACUAGAGUGUGGUAGAGGGAAGUGGAAUUUCAGGUGUAGCGGUGAAAUGCGUAGAUAUCAAGAGGAAUACCAGUGGCGAAGGCGGCUCUCUGGUCCUUUUCUGACGCUGAGGUGCGAAAGCUAGGGUAGCGAACGGGAUUAGAUA